AUAAGCGGAGGAAAAGAAACCAACAGGGAUUGCCCCAGUAACGGCGAGUGAAGCGGCAAUAGCUCAAAUUUGAAAUCUGGCUCCUUUGGGGCCCGAGUUGUAAUUUGGAGAGGGUGCUUUGGUGUCGGCAGCAGCCUAAGUUCCUUGGAACAGGUCAUCAUAGAGGGUGAGAAUCCCGUAUGUGGCUGAUUGUCUUCGCCAUGUAAAGCCCCUUCGACGAGUCGAGUUGUUUGGGAAUGCAGCUCUAAAUGGGAGGUAAAUUUCUUCUAAAGCUAAAUAUUGGCCAGAGACCGAUAGCGCACAAGUAGAGUGAUCGAAAGAUGAAAAGCACUUUGGAAAGAGAGUCAAAAAGCACGUGAAAUUGUUGAAAGGGAAGCGCUUGCAGCCAGACGUGCCCGUAGUUGCUCAUCUGGGGAUUUCCCCAGUGCACUCUUCUAUGGGCAGGCCAGCAUCAGUCUGGGCGGUUGGAGAAAGGCCUGUGUCACGUAGCUGCUUUCGGGCAGUGUUAUAGGGCAGGUGGAAUACGACCAGCCUGGACUGAGGUCCGCGCAUCUGCUAGGAUGCUGGCGUAAUGGCUGUAAGCGGCCCGUCUUGAAACACGGACCAAGGAGUCUAACAUCUAUGCGAGUGUUUGGGUGUCAAGCCCGAGCGCGCAAUGAAAGUGAACGGAGGUGGGAACCCUCGGGUGCACCAUCGACCGAUCCUGAUGUCUUCGGAUGGAUUUGAGUAAGAGCAUAGCUGUUGGGACCCGAAAGAUGGUGAACUAUGCCUGAAUAGGGUGAAGCCAGAGGAAACUCUGGUGGAGGCUCGCAGCGGUUCUGACGUGCAAAUCGAUCGUCAAAUUUGGGCAUAGGGGCGAAAGACUAAUCGAACUAUCUAGUAGCUGGUUCCUGCCGAAGUUUCCCUCAGGAUAGCAGUAACGUUUUCAGUUUUAUGAGGUAAAGCGAAUGAUUAGAGGCCUGGGGGCUGAAACAGCCUUCACCUAUUCUCAAACUUUAAAUAUGUAAGAAGUCCUUGUUUCUUCAUU
rnacentral:rRNA from 1 species